rnacentral:rRNA from 1 species
GAUGAACGCUGGCGGCGUGCUUAACACAUGCAAGUCGAACGGAAAGGCCUCAGCUUGCUGGGGUGCUCGAGUGGCGAACGGGUGAGUAACACGUAGGUGAUCUGCCUUUCACUUCGGGAUAAGCUUGGGAAACUGGGUCUAAUACCGGAUAUUCACGGCACCGUGGUUGGUGUGGUGGAAAGCUUUUGCGGUGGGAGAUGAGCUUGCGGCCUAUCAGCUUGUUGGUGGGGUAAUGGCCUACCAAGGCGGCGACGGGUAGCCGGCCUGAGAGGGUGUGCGGGCACAUUGGGACUGAGAUACGGCCCAGACUCCUACGGGAGGCAGCAGUGGGGAAUUUUGCACAAUGGGCGGAAGCCUGAUGCAGCGACGCCGUGUGGGGGAUGAAGGCCUUCGGGUUGUAAACUCCUGUCGUCAGGGACGAAGUUUGUUUGACGGUACCUGGAUAAGAAGCACCGGCUAACUACGUG